rnacentral:rRNA from 1 species
CACGAACGCUGGCGGCAGGCUUAACACAUGCAAGUCGAGCGCCCCGCAAGGGGAGCGGCAGACGGGUGAGUAACGCGUGGGAAUCCACCCAUCUCUACGGAAUAACGCAUGGAAACGUGUGCUAAUACCGUAUACGUCCUUCGGGAGAAAGAUUUAUCGGAGAUGGAUGAGCCCGCGUUGGAUUAGCUAGUUGGUGGGGUAAAGGCCUACCAAGGCGACGAUCCAUAGCUGGUCUGAGAGGAUGAUCAGCCACACUGGGACUGAGACACGGCCCAGACUCCUACGGGAGGCAGCAGUGGGGAAUAUUGGACAAUGGGCGCAAGCCCGAUCCAGCCAUGCCGCGUGAGUGAUGAAGGCCCUAGGGUUGUAAAGCUCUUUCACCGGUGAAGAUAAUGACGGUAACCGGAGAAGAAGCCCCGGCUAACUUCGUGCCAGCCGCCGCAGUAAGAC